rnacentral:rRNA from 1 species
UACGUACGGCGCAAGCGUUGUCCGGAAUUAUUGGGCGUAAAGAGCUCGUAGGCGGCUUGUCACGUCGGAUGUGAAAGCCCGGGGCUUAACUCCGGGUCUGCAUUCGAUACGGGCUGGCUAGAGUGUGGUAGGGGAGAUCGGAAUUCCUGGUGUAGCGGUGAAAUGCGCAGAUAUCAGGAGGAACACCGGUGGCGAAGGCGGAUCUCUGGGCCAUUACUGACGCUGAGGAGCGAAAGCGUGGGGAGCGAACAGG